GGUGUGGUGUGGUCAGGAAUGUGGAUUGCAGUGUUUCGUGCCGAGUCGGCACUGCCGACAAAAAUUCGCAGAUUGAGAAACAGCCGGAACAAUCUAUGAUGUCAAUCUUCAUCCAGUAUCCGAUAGUCUGUACUCGUUCGGUGGUUCCGCGACCGUUUCUGUCCCAAGAGAUCCAGCAUUAAGUCCUGACAUCAACACGAGCGAUCACCACUUCCGAAUGGAAUGCGGUUAAAGGGCCGCAGCUACGGCCAAAUCUGCUCGAUAUUGAAUCCGAUGAACAUCGAUAGCGAUGUGCUCCACAGAUACGGUAGAGGGUUCCCACACGUAGGAAGAAUAUUUCUCCUGUACUGAGCCUUGUUUGACAGUGACGCCGUUCGGGAAAAUUAGACGAUUCGAGACUGCAGUCACAGAAAAAGUCAAUUGCAACGGCUUUCUCGAUAUCGGAUUGAAAUAUAAAAUUGUGGAUGCUUCACUGAGGCGGUCAAGAUUUAUACGAAAUGGCCCAAGGCAUUAACAGUACGCUGAGAAAAUUCAACUGUUCUUGGGAGAAGUUGAUCUUGGGAGCAAAUUGGUAAACCAGUAGACUUUGUAAGGAAAAUAGUUCUUGAAUCUAAUAAGAUAUCACAGGUAACAGGCAGCAAUAUUCCAUUGAUUUUAAAAUAGUUUUCAGCAGGUAGCAGCCUAGCAAUCCACUACGUUGCAUUUUUUUUUGCUUUACCUACCUACUUAAUUAUUGAAAAAAAUUGAAUGAUUUGCAAGAAAAAAUCUCAUUACAUUUCAGGAUUUGAAGUUGCUUCAUAAAACUACAUUUGUUAGUCAUUUGUUAGUCAUUCUGCUCCUCAGACGAAAACUGUCGACAACCGACUUAUCAAGCCGCUCGUUAGACCACCAUUAAAACGCCCAAGGACAUUUCAACAAUGGAAACGACAAAUGUCACCGGUAAGCAAUUUCCAAUUAUUCAUUUUUUAAAUAAGUCCACACACUUCAAUUUCUAUUUGAAAUGCAUUCAAAUAUGCGGGAAUAGCUUAAAACCUAAACUCACUACUGAUAACAAGUUGAUGUCAUAGAAUGAAUAAAUGAAGACGCUAUAAUG